GCAAAUACCAAAAGCUGUCCUCAUUGAGUCAUCCCUCCCAGAGCAGGAAGAGCAGAGGUUCUGGGAAACAACCCCAAGGAGAGAGACAGGGCAUUUAUAAAACAGCAUGUAAGCAUCUCUGCAGUUGCUGUCCCCAGAGCCCACUUCCUGGAUAUUGCCAGCUGCCUGGACCAACCUUUCCGAAAGAUCAGCCAGGUCACAGUGAGGGUCAAAGGUGAGGCAACACCCGGCCUGCUUCAGCUUGCCCCCCGUGGGCUGCACCCACUGUCCAACCAGUCCCAAUGAGAUGAACCAGAACAUUGGCAAGCACGUUGAUAGAGUGCCCACAUUGUACUGAACUCUGAGGGGAAUAGUCUCGUCCCCAUCACUCAGGUGGGGAAACUGAGGAGGCCACUGGAGGCUCCAAGGGCUCUGAAAUGUUGAGAACUUCCCUGCAGGUACCAGCGAAGAGGGCAAGAACACAGCACUACUUCCUUGGAUACUGUUUCCCUCCUCAGAGGGGUUUUCUGAGCUGCCCUGGGUCCUGUGAGGAAGAUCUCCCCUUCCUGUAAAGACACCAGUCCUACUGGAUCAGGGCCCACCCGUGUGACUUCACUUUUACUUGAGUACCUCUCACAGACCCUAACUCCAAAUCAGGUCACUUGCUGAGGUACUGCAUGUGAAGACUUUGACAUUUGAAUUUUGAGGGGGCCACCGUUUAACCUGAACCACCAAGGACAGAGCCAAAGACCCUGGGUGACAGGCCCAGAACAGGACCUGGUGGAGGCUCUUCUUUAGGGGAGAGAGGGAAAUGGGAGCCACCACUGGCAGAGCCUGAAGGCAGGGCAGCCAGAAAGAAGCUGUGGGAGUCCCCACCAUGGAAGACCCUGCCGAGCAUCCUGUGUCUCCUGAAGCAGACCCUGACAUGAGGACUGGGGGCACGUGUUUAUUAAGGGCGAUCCCCGGAAGGAGGAGAUAACCAGGCAGAAGUCCUAGCAGAGUAUGCCCACGCUGGUUAGUGCUGCUGCAAAGAUGAGCCGAAGACCAUGAGAGACCUCCAGGUGGUCCUUCUGGGGAGAAGAAAUGGGUUUUGGCCCCAAAUCCUUCUGCUGCAUUUUUCCCCUAUCCCUGGGAAGCCAUGAGACCUCAAACCUGUGUUCCCAAGGAGGCGAGCUGCUGUUCCCAGGUGAUGAUAUGAUGUGCUUGGGGAAAGUAAGUGGCUGCCAGACAUGGCUGAGAGCUGUUGUCACUGCCGUCAAGUGCAUGUCUCCAAGCCAUAUCACACGGCGUCCCUCGAUGUGAGGCCACAUGGCAAGUGGGCCGUGGAUCUCCCUCUGCCCUUUGCAAGCACGUAAGACAGCAGAUUUUGCAGAUACCUUGUGGCGCAGGGGAAUUUCCUUUGGCCAGGUCUGAAGAAAUAAAGCAGCAGGCACCGAGAACAAAGCCAAGGCUUUCAAAAGACAAGGAGCCAAAAAACUUACUCAAAAUAAAAGUAGUUUUAAAAUGU
ensembl:lncRNA novel transcript